AAAGUCAUGCAGAGCACUCCAAUGCAUUGUAUUCUUUUUUCAAACCCAACAUUGAUUUCAAAUUCUAAAGUAUCAGGAAUGUUGAAUGCUUUCUGAUAUACAUUGGAUCCAAUUUUAACAACCAAGUCAUUGUUACUGCGAGGAAAAGACGAAGGAAGCCUAAGUCUGCAGUAACCUGGCUGGGUAUCGGAACAGUCAACAAACAAAUGAUCUGAAAAUGGUUCAGUUGUUUCUACAUUAGUGUCGAAACCCGCAAGUGUGUUUUCUUUCAAAACGACAAUACGGGCAAUUUUAUGCGUUAUGGAAGAAGCUUUUUGCGUCCAGGAUAUAUCCUUUAAGAUGACAGAACUUUCGUCUUCUACAGAUCCUAAAUAAUGAAACAGUCUACCCGAAUGUCUAUACAAAGGAUGGGGAAUUGUGUAUUGUUUUUGAAACAUUUUUAAUGGAGUUAUAUGUUUCAAAAUGAAUGACAGAAAACCGCCAGAAUAAGACAUACAUAUUUGCCCAAAAUCAAAGUGUUCAUUCGGCGUUAUUCUCUCAGCAUUUUCUUUAAGAGAAAUGCAUUGCAACACGAAUUGAGCAGAAUCUUCCAAAUAGGAAUUUGCUGAAAACCCUUGUGACAUGAAUGCAAGUUUGCUGUCAACCAAUUUACUUCUCUCAUCAGAUGUUUCAUCACAACAUACCAGUAACAUUCUAUAAAUCUGCGACUCUAAAAUAAAUAGCCGAAAUAUUGUUUUUUGUACAGCAUAUAUGUAGAAUAGUAAGAUAGUCCUUAUCAAAUAGAUUUAAAAAAAAAACAAAUAAACUUACUGUAAGGUAAUUCCAUCCUCCAAUUCAGAGAACGAAGACUAAAAUAGUGGGAUUGUCCAAUGUAACCAAGAAUAAUAUUAAAUUUGAUUGACGCCUC
rnacentral:sRNA from 1 species